rnacentral:rRNA from 1 species
GACGAACGCUGGCGGCGUGCUUAACACAUGCAAGUCGAACGGUGAAGCGCCUUCCUUUUUGGUGGGUGUGGAUGAGUGGCGAACGGGUGAGUAACACGUGAGUAACCUGCCCCCUUCUUCUGGAUAACCGCAUGAAAGUGUGGCUAAUACGGGAUAUUCUGGGUCUGUCGCAUGAUGGGUCUGGGAAAGAUAUUGUUUCGGUGGGGGAUGGGCUCGCGGCCUAUCAGCUUGUUGGUGGGGUGAUGGCCUACCAAGGCGGUGACGGGUAGCCGGCCUGAGAGGGUGGACGGUCACACUGGGAAGGAGACACGGCCCAGACUCCUACGGGAGGCAGCAGUGGGGAAUAUUGCACAAUGGGCGCAAGCCUGAUGCAGCGACGCCGCGUGAGGGAUGGAGGCCUGCGGGUUGUGAACCUCUUUCGCCAGUGAAGCAGGCCUGCCUCGUUUGUGGGUGGGUUGACGGUAGCUGGAUAAGAAGCGCCGGCUAACUACGUG